GGCAACUGGAGGGGCCAGCAGGAGUUGGGAGGCACCAUGGGAGGUGUAGAGGUCAGCCAAGGGGGGAAUGAGGCAGGAUGUGGGGAGCCGAGAGGCAGCCGGUCCAAGCCGGGCCGCCCCCAUCUCCAUAGCCACAGAGUGAGUGGAAGCCUGAAGUCAGCAGCUGCCGCCAGCCCUUGUGCUGUAGAAGGGGCACCGCCAGCCCUUGUGCUAUAGAAGGAGCACUGCCAGCCCUUGUACUAUAGAAGGGGCACCAGCUGUUUGGCCUGAGAUCUGGAGCGGGCAGAGUGGAACUGGGCUUUG
rnacentral:lncRNA from 1 species